rnacentral:rRNA from 1 species
CCUACGGGAGGCAGUAGUGGGGAAUUUUGGACAAUGGGCGCAAGCCUGAUCCAGCAAUGCCGCGUGCAGGAUGAAGGCCUUCGGGUUGUAAACUGCUUUUGUACGGAACGAAAAAGUCUGCCCUAAUACGGUGGGCCCAUGACGGUACCGUAAGAAUAAGCACCGGCUAACUACGUGCCAGCAGCCGCGGUAAUACGUAGGGUGCGAGCGUUAAUCGGAAUUACUGGGCGUAAAGCGUGCGCAGGCGGUUAUAUAAGACAGAUGUGAAAUCCCCGGGCUCAACCUGGGACCUGCAUUUGUGACUGUAUAGCUAGAGUACGGUANAGGGGGAUGGAAUUCCGCGUGUAGCAGUGAAAUGCGUAGAUAUGCGGAGGAACACCGAUGGGCGAG